GCCGAAGUGGCGGAACUAGGCAGACGCGCACGACUCAAAAUCGUGUUCCCUCCGGGAAUGAGGGUUCGAUUCCCUCCUUCGGCAC
rnacentral:tRNA from 1 species